rnacentral:misc_RNA from 1 species
GUAAUUAUCCAUCACUUCAAGGGUGGAACUUAAUUUCAAAGUUUAGGACAAUCAAUAACAUGCUCACUAGCAAAUUGUUGACUACUAAAUAGUAAAUGCUCAGACUCAACUACCUGGUGUUCCAGCACUUUCCUUCAUCCCUUGUUUUCUCCUAUUUUAAUAAUCCAACAACUCGGUUUUCAACCACAUUCAACUUCUCAUUUUAGUGGAAUGACAUAGUCUAGAAUGCCCAUUUUUAAUUCAAUCAAAUGAUUCAG